rnacentral:rRNA from 1 species
UACGAAGGGGGCGAGCGUUGUUCGGAAUUACUGGGCGUAAAGGGCGCGCAGGCGGCUCUGAAAGUCAGAUGUGAAAGCCCCGGGCUUAACCUGGGAACUGCAUUUGAUACUCUGGAGCUUGAGUACGGGAGAGGAGAGUGGAAUUCCCAGUGUAGAGGUGAAAUGCGUAGAUAUUGGGAGGAACACCAGUGGCGAAGGCGGCUCACUGGACCGGAACUGACGCUGAGGCGCGAAAGCGUGGGGAGCAAACGGG